rnacentral:misc_RNA from 1 species
GAUGAAGAACGCAGCGAAAUGCGAUAAGUAGUGUGAAUUGCAGAAUUCAGUGAAUCAUCGAAUCUUUGAACGCACAUUGCGCCCACUAGUAUUCUGGUGGGCAUGCCUGUUCGAGCGUCAUUUCAACCCUCAAGCCUUAGUUGCUUGGUGUUGGGAGCUUAUCUUGCCGAAAGGCGGACAACUCCUUAAAACUAUUGGCGGAGUCGCGGUGACCCCAAGCGUAGUAAAUCUUUUUUUUCUCGCUUUAGGUGUUAACGCUGGCUUUCUAGCCGUUAAACCCUCUAAAUUUUUAGUGGUUGACCUCGGAUCAGGUAGGACUACCCGCUGAACUUAAGCAUAUCAAUAAGCGGAGGA